rnacentral:rRNA from 1 species
AAACGAGUAUUCCCUAUCAGAGCCGUGGAAGACCACCACGUUGAUAGGCCGGGUGUGGAAGUGCGGCAACGCAUGCAGCUUACCGGUACUAAUAGCUCGAUCGACUUGAUCACUCCCAUUU